UGGGAGGAUCUCCAUCCUCAGCACCAAGUGGUGAGGGAGAAAGGCUUUGACUAACGUGCUGCCACUCUCUGCAUUCUUCUCAAAAAGGAAUUUCUAAGCCAAGCUACAAAUGCAGCCAGGCUCGGAAUUCCACAGUUGAGGGCAGGGGCUGUCGUCCUCACUACAUUUUGAGAAACAUUCUUAUUUUUUUUAGGUAAAACUGGGGAUCCAGAUCUAGAGGGGGAUAAAGAAGACAAGAAGGAUAAAGUUGUGGCAGUUGAGCUAAAAAGCCAUGUUUGAGUUUUCUGUGGGGCUGAGUGGACAGGAGUAAAUGUGGUCUGACUCCUUCUAUCUAGAAGGUUGGGAGACACCCAUAGCUUCUCUCUUGCCAUGUUUAUUAAUAAAGAUGUUAGACACUUCUCCGUGAGAUAUUUCCUUGUGAAAGUAAAGACCACAACAUCAAAACAUUGGGUUGCAAAGUUGCCUACUUCACGAGAGUCACCUGCCCCGUCGUUUUUGUGCCUUGUCUGUGACGUCAAAACGCAAAUGUUUAUAUCACUGUCACUCAUGAUUAUUUUCCUAUGUCGGACAAACAAAGUGCAUUUGGUUGUAAUGUUUUAAAGUAAAUAAAGCAUUUCAUCUAAUUCUGUGAU
rnacentral:lncRNA from 1 species